CGUAAAAACCCUAUUUGUAAACAACCAGCCCUUUAACUCGGGGCUGCGUCAUAAACACGGCGCGCUUGGAAGACCACGAUGUCAUCUUCCUUCUGUCAGGAGGAUCCAAGUGAAGCUACAGGAGUUUCAUUAACGUCAACAACUUGGACCAAACAGUUUGUUUUGCUUGAUGAAGAGCAGGAAGGGCAGCCUGGAGAGAAAGAGAAGCCGGGUUGAGCCCACUACCAUCAUCCACGUACCACGAGGAAGAUGAGGGAGAGAAAUGAUCCUACCAUUAAAGAGACUGUGAAAAGAACGUUGAGAACAUCACCACUCUACAGGAAGACACAGUCCAGUAAUGGGUGUCAGAAGUUCCGUAGUGAACGACAGGUACUGUGGAAAAAUAUGUGUCAUUGUUGUACAAUGUCCUUUGACUCUGUUUAAACAAGGUCAACACAAAAAGGUUUGAUUGUAAACUGAUAUCGGUAUGAAUUCAUGUUAUUCUCCUCGUCAAAAGAAACAAACAAUCCAAAUUACCUGCAGAAAGCCCUUGAUGGACGCUUCAGCUGCAUCGUCAGACUGGCAGUACUGAUGCAUUUACUGAGAGGGGACGUGAGGGCCUACUCUGCGUGCUCAGAGUUCAAGCCCAGCAGGCUGCAGCGGUCCUGACAUAUUCUGGAACAGCAGCACAGUCUUUGGAUGACUCCUCUGAAGAUGAAAACAUGGCGAGUUCUUCUCAAGAGAAGCAGUACAGGUGUGCCUCAGCUCCACGGUCCCUCCUGCAGCCUCCGCUCCUGAUGCUAACCUCAUGUCUCCAUCACACCAAGCAGCAGACCUGGAUUGACAGACCUUUCUCCAGAGCUGCCCCCUCCCUCUGAAACCCC